GGGGUUGUGGCUCAUUGGUAGAGCACUCACUUAGCAUGUGUGAGGUGCUGGGUUCGAUCCUCAGUACCACA
rnacentral:tRNA from 1 species